rnacentral:lncRNA from 1 species
CGAAUUUGUAAAGCGCCAGUGGUGAAGCUGUUGACAUGGAUGGAAGAAAUGGAGUUAAUAUCGAAUUUUUAUUUUCUAAAUACGCAUCAUUCACCUUCGUCGUUGGUGGCUUCGAUUUUUAAUUUUUCGAAAUAUGAUGAUAUUUAUCAGACUGUCCCUUCGUCUUCAUUGUCUUCCAUUUUCAAAACAUGCUGUUGAGAUGAUCCAUUCCGUGUAUGAUUUUUACUUGGUGAUUAGCCCAUGAACGUUGUAUUUAUUAAAAUUGAUUUACCUAGUGCAAAUUUUGAUUUUAGUCAAAAACGAAAAAUGAUAUUGAGACAUAGGGCAUGUCAUUGUUGUCCCUGUUGCUUGAUAUGAGUUGUUUCCUUUUGAGAAUUCUGUUACGCUUUGUAUCCGAAGUGAUUAGAAUGGCCACAUGGAGGCAUUAUACGCAGACAUCUGGUAGUCAGCGAAGUCAGAGAGGGAACAAGCUGCUCUUUGCCCAAGGUGCCAUCCUUUCCCGAAGUUCAUUGCCGAAGCACUUCCUCCCAAAGCUGAACCUCUUCACAUCCUAAGCUCCUCCUCUUAAAACAGAA